rnacentral:rRNA from 1 species
GAUGAACGCUGGCGGCGUGCCUAAUACAUGCAAGUCGAGCGAACAGACGAGGAGCUUGCUCCUCUGACGUUAGCGGCGGAAGGGUGAGUAACACGUGGAUAACCUACCUAUAAGACUGGGAUAACUUCGGGAAACCGGAGCUAAUACCGGAUAAUAUAUUGAACCGCAUGGUUCAAUAGUGAAAGACGGUUUUGCUGUCACUUAUAGAUGGAUCCGCGCCGCAUUAGCUAGUUGGUAAGGUAGCGGCUUACCAAGGCAACGAUGCGUAGCCGACCUGAGAGGGUGAUCGGCCACACUGGAACUGAGACACGGUCCAGACUCCUACGGGAGGCAGCAGUAGGGAAUCUUCCGCAAUGGGCGAAAGCCUGGCGGAGCAACGCCGCGUGAGUGAUGAAGGUCUUCGGAUCGUAAAACUCUGUUAUUAGGGAAGAACAAAUGUGUAAGUAACUAUGCACGUCUUGACGGUACCUAAUCAGAAAGCCACGGCUAACUACGUG